rnacentral:rRNA from 1 species
UACGUAGGAUGCAAGCGUUGUUCGGAAUUACUGGGCGUAAAGAGUACGUAGGCGGUUUGUUAAGUCUGAUAUUAAAGGCUGGGGCUCAACCUCAGAAAUGUAUCGGAAACUGGCAGACUAGAGGACAAUAGAGGAAGUCGGAAUUCUCAGUGUAGCGGUGAAAUGCGUAGAGAUGUGGAGGAACACCGAUGGCGAAGGCAGCCCCCUGGGCUAACACUGACGCUCAUGCACGAAAGCGUGGGGAGCAAACAGG